GUCCACGCCGUAAACGAUGUCGAUUUGGAGGCUGUGUCCUUGAGACGUGGCUUCCGGAGCUAACGCGUUAAAUCGACCGCCUGGGGAGUACGGCCGCAAGGUUAAAACUCAAAUGAAUUGACGGGGCCCGCACAAGCGGUGGAGCAUGUGGUUUAAUUCGAUGCAACGCGAAGAACCUUACCUGGCCUUGACAUGUCUGGAAUCCUGUAGAGAUGCGGGAGUGCCUUGGGAAUCAGAACACAGGUGCUGCAUGGCUGUCGU
rnacentral:rRNA from 1 species